GUGAGCCGUAUGAUGGGCAACUAUCUCAUGCGGUUCGGAGAGGUUCCGUGCGUCUCCAC
rnacentral:ncRNA from 1 species